ACAACAUAGAGAAAAGAACAUAGACUACCCACCCCAACUCACGCCCUGACCAAACUAACACAAAGACAUACUAAAGGAACUAAGGUCUGAACUUGACAGUGACAGUAAUAAUAUUGCACACAUAUUCAGAAAUCUGCAGGUUUUUAUACUACUUCUAUAUUGCACCGUUACCAACAUGAUCUUUUUUUUUUACAUCAAUUAAUUUCCCUGUAAUCUGCUGAGAUUGUGAACGUUUUCAGGUUUUGAAGGGAGUUUUGACUGGAUUUACUAGAAAUGUGAAAUUGACCUGGCAAGCCUGUCUCUGCCUGAGCAUGAUCACAACAAAAGUAGCUGUGCAGCACGUUUUUUAAAGGAAGAGGAGGAUGGUUGCAGACGUUCGCAUUCAUGCAAGAAGGAGAGAUGUCAGCGAUUCGGGCCAAUGACCAAGGGAAAGCUGGGACAAAAGAGAGGUUCACACGGUGACAAAGGAACUAAAAGGUAUUGGUCGACAAUAGAGGUGGAUGCAGUUGAAGAUUCCUUGAUGAACUUUAUCCGAAUGGGGAAACAAUGCCUGGAAAACAAGACUGUGAGAAAUGCGUUUCUGCUUCUCCCCAAGCGCUAGUAAACAGGGACUGCAGAGCAGUACAGUUCUAUGUACACAAGAUGAGAGAAAAUAAGUGUAUGAGAUGCUUCUGGCUAUCUUGGUGUACUUCUGAGGAUUUAAUGGGACUUACUUGACUUAAUCUCAUAGGCAGAUGACGAAUGUCCUCUUUCUCACUGUUCAGGGGAAGUUUUUCCAGGUGGAUGGUUCACUUUUGGAGUGACUAAGGUCUCAAGAAUACAAGGCCUGCUGACUUUGAAUGUUACAGAAAAAUAAAGAAAAUUCUAAACUAUUAAUAUGUUA